UACGUAGGGGGCAAGCGUUAUCCGGAAUCAUUGGGCGUAAAGGCUGUGUAGGUGGUUGUGUUAGUCUCUUGUUAAAUUCUUCGGCUUAACCGGGGGCAUGCAAGGGAAACGGCACGACUAGAGGAUGCGAGGAGUCUGCGGAACUCAUAGUGUAGCGGUGAAAUGCGUUGAUAUUAUGGGGAACACCAAAAGCGAAGGCAGCAGACUGGAGCACUCCUGACACUGAAACAUGAAAGCGUGGGUCGCGAAUGGG
rnacentral:rRNA from 1 species